GACGUCACAGAGACGGGCGGAGCUUAUACCGACUCCAAACAAUUGUGUUGAUAAUGGUAAAUGCCCAUAAGCAAUUUUUCAUUUAGUGCUUCCGUGGUUUAUUUGAUAAAAAAUAAGAUUUUUCAAUUGAAUAUUUUGUUGAAAGAACGUACUAUUUAAGAGCUUUUUAUUAGUUGUUUCCCAGGUUUUUAAGAUCUAGGACUGCUUCAGAACGGGUAUGUGCUUUGUUCCAGACUGUAAACAUUACAGUUCAAAGCAUCCAUGUAAGUUUUUUCGGUUCCCAAAAAACAAGACCCAGAGGAAUAGAUGGAUUUCUCUCAUAAGAAGAAAAAAUAGAGAUUUAAGUGCAUUUACAAAAGUGUUCAAUUGCCACUUUUUAAAUAAAGAAAAAAAGAAUGGGCCAACUUUAUUUGAAUUCAAUAUUCAGAAGAAGUAUAAUAUAAAAUCAUCAGAAAAAAGAUAUGUAUUUUGUUGCAGAAAGUCCAUUAGUCUAAUAAACCACUUUUUUUAGGAAGGGAACUGUAAAAAACCUUGUGACCGAGCUACUACCAGGACCUUCAAUGGAACCACUACCAGGUCCUUCAACCAAACUACUGCCAGGGUCUUCAAAAUGAGAUCAUGAAGUGACUCAAAUUAAACUUGAUGCUUCACUACUGAGUCCAUCAUCUGCAUUUCAAGAUGCUGAGAAUUACUUUUUGCGGUAGCAGGUGGUUGAAUUAACUGAGAAGCUGUAAAAGUUAUCAACAAGGUUCAGCUAUGAAAUUGUGGAGAACAAAGGUGCUCAUGUACUAAUGUAUACUGGUAUUGCAACCAAUGAGCUGUUCAUGGUUCUUUUUGAACUAAUGGACAGCAUUAAAUUAAAAUAUUGUGCUGGAUGGAAUGUUCAAAUCGUUCCUAAAAUUGGUCAACUGUUUAUGACCUUAAUGAAGCUAAGGCUUAAUCUUCCACAUGAAAAUUUGAGUAUUAGAUUUAGUUGUAGUACAGCUACAGUGACCAAUAUUAUAAUUAUGUGGAUCUAUGCUCUACAUGAAGUCCUUUCCAAUAAUUUGAUGAAAACUAUAUCAUCAAGACAACAGAAUCAGGCCUGCCUCCCUAUUGCUUUUACGAAUUUUAAAAAAUGUAGGAUAAUUUUGGAUUGCUCCGCAAUUUAUUCAGCAGUUCCAGCAAGCAUGAAAAACCAGAGAUUGACCUACAGUUCAUACAAACACCGAAACACAUGAAAAAUGUUGGUAGGUGUUGCACCAAACGGUGUAAUCACUUUUGUUAGCAAGGCUUAUCCAGGGUCUACAUCUGAUAAAAAAAUUGUUGAGGAUAGUAAGGUUCUAGAUCAGAUGGUGGCUGGAGAUUUGAUAUUAGCAGAUAAAGUUUUCUUGAUUAAGGAACUUCUCCCUACAGGAGUAUCAUUAAAUAUAUCUCCAUUUUUAAUUAACAACACCACAGUUUACAGAAUCCCAAGUAUAUGAAACUCAGCAAAUUGCAAAGGCUAGAAUUCAUGUCGGACGGGCCAUCAGGAGAAUAAAGUGUAUUUUGUAGCAAGUUCCAUCAUAUUAUAUAUCACAAAUUUCAAUUAUCUUUCAACUGUGUACAGCCCUCACAAACUUGCAAUAUUCUCCAAUUAAAGAAGUUGAGGAGUAUUAUUGGUUGGAUCUAUACUGUAGGUUAUGCCGUUAAUGUGAACUGAUUUGAUUAACCAUACGGAGUUAAGCCAAAGUACAUAGACAUAUUAUAAUUUUGAGUUUUAAAUAUUUUUUAUUGUAGCAAUAUAUUUCCUUAUUCGACUUUUUUUGUAAAAAGUUUAGAAAUUUUUAUUUAAAAAAUGUAUAUUUAGAUUUUACUUAAUUUAUAAAUGAAUUGAUUUUUGGCAGUAGACUACAGUUUUUACAAUCUUCAAAUAAAUGAUUAAGCCUCAAGCAGUGUUUUAGUUUAUUUUACAAGUUUUUGUACAGAAAAAAAUCACUCAACUAUAGUACAUUCAAUACAGCAAUUUAAAAUAGCUAAAGUUUGUUUCAAAAAUCUUUAUUGACAAAAUAGCAUUGUGCAUUUAUAUUUAAAAACAUAAUUUCCUGA